GCUCUGUUCUUCCCUUUGGAUGUUCAGACUCUCUUUCUUCCUUUCACUGUUGUCCAACACAUACGAGCGGCUCUUUCUGACUGCUUCGCUUCACUGCUUCUCAGGCGAGGCCGAACUGACUAAUCAUCCCAGGUGUCAAGCCGGUACCUGUCCGAUGUCCUCUCCUCCCACAGUGUGAUGCGUCAUGGCUCCGGUGCUGAGUGGAGUGUGGUGGGGGCCGGAGGCGGGGGUCG